rnacentral:rRNA from 13 species
GCCAACGUUCAAACCGCGUUGAGUGCACUCGUUCUCGUCCGAUCACGAAAGUUAAGCAGCGCUGGGCACGGAUAGUACUUGGAUGGGUGACCGCCUGGGAACUCCGUGUGGUGUUGGCU